GAUAAACGCUGGCGGCGUGCCUAAUACAUGCAAGUCGAUCGAUGGAUGCCCAGCUUGCUGGGAGGAAAUAGAGGCGAACGGGUGAGUAAUACGUAAGCAACCUGCCCACGAAGACCGGGAUAAUCCCUGGAAACGGGGACUAAGACCGGAUAGGUAACAGAACCGCAUGAUUUUGUUAUUAAAGGUUAAAAACACUGGUGGAUGGGCUUACGGUGCAUUAGCUAGUUGGUGAGGUAACGGCCCACCAAGGCGAUGAUGCAUAGCUGGUCUGAGAGGAUGAACAGCCACAUUGGGACUGAGACACGGCCCAGACUCCUACGGGAGGCAGCAGUAGGGAAUUUUCGGCAAUGGGGGAAACCCUGACCGAGCAACGCCGCGUGAGUGAAGAAGGUCUUCGGAUUGUAAAGCUCUGUUGUAAGGGAAGAAAUGUACUUUGAGAAAAAGUACUUGACGGUACCUUACCAGAAAGCUACGGCUAACUACGUGCCAGCAGCCGCGGUAAUACGUAGGUAGCGAGCGUUAUCCGGAAUUAUUGGGCGUAAAGGGUGCGUAGGCGGCCAUUUAAGUUCAUGGUGAAAGCGUGGGGCUCAACCCCAUAAAGCCAUGGAUACUGGAUGGCUGGAGUACUGGAGAGGGUAGUGGAA
rnacentral:rRNA from 1 species